rnacentral:rRNA from 1 species
UAUGGGAAGAUCAGCCCGAGAAGGUAACAGCCCUGUAAACGAAACGUUGUUUCCUCAGUCCAGGAUCCUGAGUACGGCGGAACACGUGAAACUCCGUCGGAAUCCGGGAGGACCAUCUCCCAAGGCUAAAUACUCCCUAGUGACCGAUAGUGAACCAGUACCGUGAGGGAAAGGUGAAAAGCACCCCGGGAGGGGAGUGAAAGAGUACCUGAAACCAUGUGCCUACAAGUAGUCAGAGCCCGUUAACGGGUGAUGGCGUGCCUUUUGUAGAAUGAACCGGCGAGUUAUGCUAACGUGCGAGGUUAAGGCGGAAAGGCCGGAGCCGCAGCGAAAGCGAGUCUGAACAGGGCGAACGAGUACGUUGGUGUAAACCCGAAACCAGGUGACCUACCCAUGUCCAGGUUGAAGGUGCGGUAAAACGCACUGGAGGACCGAACCCGUGUAUGUUGAAAAAUGCUGGGAUGAGGUGUGGGUAGCGGUGAAAUUCCAAUCGAACUUGGAGAUAGCUGGUUCUCUCCGAAAUAGCUUUAGGGCUAGCCUCGGAGUUGAGAAUCGUGGAGGUAGAGCACUGUUUGGACUAGGGGCCCGUCUUGGGUUACUGAAUUCAGAUAAACUCCGAAUGCCACUGAUUUAUAUCCGGGAGUCAGACUGCGAGUGAUAAGAUCCGUAGUCGAAAGGGAAACAGCCCAGACCACCGAUUAAGGUCCCUAAAUAUGUGUUAAGUGGAAAAGGAUGUGGAAUUGCACAGACAACUAGGAUGUUGGCUCAGAAGCAGCCACCAUUUAAAGAGUGCGUAAUAGCUCACUAGUCGAGUGAUCCUGCGCCGAAAAUGUAACGGGGCUAAACACAUUACCGAAAUCGUGGAUGCAGCUUUGCUGCAUGGUAGGAGAGCGUUCUAAGGGCGGUGAAGCCGGACCGUAAGGACCGGUGGAGCGCUUAGAAGUGAGAAUGCCGGUAUGAGUAGCGAAAGACAGGUGAGAAUCCUGUCCACCGAAUGACUAAGGUUUCCUGGGGAAGGCUCGUCCUCCCAGGGUUAGUCGGGACCUAAGCUGAGGCCGAGAGGCGUAGGCGAUGGACAACGGGUUGAUAUUCCCGUACCGGUCUGAUUUGUUUGAGCAAUGGAGGGACGCAGGAGGCUAACGAUGCGCACUAUCGGAUGUGCGUCCAAGCAGCGAGUCUGUCGGCGAGUCAAAUGCUUGCCGGCUCAAGGACAAGCUGUGACGGGUAUGAACGAUUUAUCGUUCUAAGUGAGUGACGUCACACUGCCAAGAAAAGCUUCUAGUUAGAAUCAGACCGCCCGUACCGCAAACCGACACAGGUAGUCGGGUCGAGAAGACCAAGGUGAGCGAGAGAACUCUCGUUAAGGAACUCGGCAAAAUGACCCCGUAACUUCGGGAGAAGGGGUGCUGAUCGCAAGAUCAGCCGCAGUGAAUAGGCCCAGGCGACUGUUUAUCAAAAACACAGGUUUCUGCAAAAUCGUAAGAUGAAGUAUAGGGGCUGACGCCUGCCCGGUGCUGGAAGGUUAAGAGGAUGGGUUAGCGCAAGCGAAGCUCAGAAUUGAAGCCCCAGUAAACGGCGGCCGUAACUAUAACGGUCCUAAGGUAGCGAAAUUCCUUGUCGGGU